GUGCUUGCUUUGGCAGCACACAUGCAAAAAUUAGAAAAAUACAGAGUAGAUGAUGAUGGUCCUUGUGUAAGAUAAGAUACAAACUCAUGAAAUGUUCCAUAUUUUA